rnacentral:rRNA from 1 species
UCGAGGAUCUUCCGCAAUGGGCGAAAGCCUGACGGAGCGACACCGCGUGCAGGAUGAAGGCCUUCGGGUUGUAAACUGCUGUCACGCUAUAGGAAUGUCUGGGCGUUAAUAGCGGCCAGGUUGACUAAAGCGAGAGGAAGCACCGGCUAACUCCGUGCCAGCAGCCGCGGUAAUACGGAGGGUGCAAGCGUUGUUCGGAAUUACUGGGCGUAAAGCGCGUGUAGGUGGUCGAGUAAGUCGAAUGUGAAAGCCCCGGGCUCAACCCGGGAAGUGCAUCCGAAACUGCUCGACUAGAGUCCCGGAGAGGAAGGCAGAAUUCCCAAUGUAGGGGUGAAAUCCGUAGAUAUUGGGAGGAAUACCGGUGGCGAAGGCGGCCUUCUGGACGGUGACUGACACUCAGACGCGAAAGCGUGGGGAGCAAACAGGAUUAGAUACCCCUGUAGUCCCUGAGCGGGCUGGCAAGGCGCAU